rnacentral:rRNA from 1 species
GACGAACGCUGGCGGCGUGCUUAACACAUGCAAGUCGAACGGAAAGGCCCUGCUUUUGUGGGGUGCUCGAGUGGCGAACGGGUGAGUAACACGUGAGUAACCUGCCCUUGACUUUGGGAUAACUUCAGGAAACUGGGGCUAAUACCGGAUAGGAGCUCCUGCUGCAUGGUGGGGGUUGGAAAGUUUCGGCGGUUGGGGAUGGACUCGCGGCUUACCAGCUUGUUGGUGGGGUAGUGGCUUACCAAGGCUUUGACGGGUAGCCGGCCUGAGAGGGUGACCGGCCACAUUGGGACUGAGAUACGGCCCAGACUCCUACGGGAGGCAGCAGUGGGGAAUAUUGCACAAUGGGCGGAAGCCUGAUGCAGCAACGCCGCGUGCGGGAUGACGGCCUUCGGGUUGUAAACCGCUUUCGCCUGUGACGAAGCGUGAGUGACGGUAACGGGUAAAGAAGCACCGGCUAACUACGUG